GCGUUGGUAAAAAAAUUACUACAACCAAAAAACAAAACAAUUAAAUUGGAGCUAGUUCUUUGGUAUGUUUUUCCCAACAAUCUUAGCUGGUGCUAUCCGUAGAAGAUUUCCUGGCUUACCAGGGAGAGCACCUUUGAUCAUCACAGCACGAAGAUCAUUAUCAAUUUUAACAAUCUUGAGCUUUCUGAUCUUUGUUUUGGUUCCACCCAUCCUUCCAGGCAUCUUCUUACCCUUGUAUACUCGGCCAGGUGUUGUUCCAGCACCAAUGGAUCCCAGUGCUCUAUGACUCUUGGAACCAUGGGUCAUUUGUCCCCUUUUGAAAUUGUGCCGCUU
rnacentral:misc_RNA from 1 species